CCUACGGGUGGCAGCAGUGGGGAAUCUUCCGCAAUGGGCGAAAGCCUGACGGAGCGACGCCGCGUGGGUGACGAAGGCCUUCGGGUCGCAAAGCCCUGUCAGGGGUGACGAUAAUGACGGUAGCCCCAAAGGAAGCCCCGGCUAACUACGUGCCAGCAGCCGCGGUAACACGUAGGGGGCGAGCGUUGUCCGGAAUUACUGGGCGUAAAGGGCGUGUAGGCGGUUUACCAAGUCAGGCGUGAAAUUUUGAGGCUCAACUUCAAGACUGCGUCUGAAACUGGUGAACUUGAGGGCAGGAGAGGAGAGCGGAAUUCCCAGUGUAGCGGUGAAAUGCGUAGAUAUUGGGAGGAACACCAGUGGCGAAGGCGGCUCUCUGGACUGUACCUGACGCUGAGGCGCGAAAGCGUGGGGAGCAAACAGGAUUAGAUACCCGGGUAGUC
rnacentral:rRNA from 1 species